rnacentral:rRNA from 1 species
UACGUAGGGUGCAAGCGUUGUCCGGAAUUAUUGGGCGUAAGGAGCUCGUAGGCGGUUUGUCGCGUCGAAUGUGAAAACCCGGGGCUCAACCCCGGGCCUGCAUUCGAUACGGGCAGACUAGAGUUCGGUAGGGGAGUCUGGAAUUCCUGGUGUAGCGGUGAAAUGCGCAGAUAUCAGGAGGAACACCGGUGGCGAAGGCGGGACUCUGGGCCGAUACUGACGCUGAGGAGCGAAAGCGUGGGGAGCAAACAGG